CCUACGGGUGGCUGCAGUGGGGAAUAUUGGACAAUGGGCGAAAGCCUGAUCCAGCCAUGCCGCGUGUGUGAAGAAGGCCUUCGGGUUGUAAAGCACUUUCAGUGGGGAAGAAAGCCUUGGGGCUAAUACCCUCGAGGAAGGACAUCACCCACAGAAGAAGCACCGGCUAACUCCGUGCCAGCAGCCGCGGUAAUACGGAGGGUGCGAGCGUUAAUCGGAAUUACUGGGCGUAAAGCGCGCGUAGGCGGUCUGAUAAGCCGGUUGUGAAAGCCCCGGGCUCAACCUGGGAACGGCAUCCGGAACGGUCAGGCUAGAGUGCAGGAGAGGAAGGUAGAAUUCCAGGUGUAGCGGUGAAAUGCGUAGAGAUCGGGAGGAAUACCAGUGGCGAAGGCGGCCUUCUGGACUGACACUGACGCUGAGGUGCGAAAGCGUGGGUAGCAAACAGGAUUAGAUACCCCUUAGUC
rnacentral:rRNA from 1 species